AUUUAAAAGAGAGAGGGGGAAAAAAAGCUCUUAACCUGUGUCUGUAUGACAUUAUGCAUUGUGUUACGUGGAUUGGCUGACUGGAUACAUGUAUGAAUGCGCAGGGGUACAGGUGUUCCUAUUAAAGUGGCUGGUGCACGUAGACGACAAUAUGAAUAUUUUAUAAACAAAUAAACAUCAAACCAAAGGAGGCUGCACAUAUAGACAAAUAAAAAAAGAAAGAAAGGUGGUUUACUAUUUAGGACCUAUCAUCCUGGCCCAUAGGUGGUGCUCUUUCAUUGUUUGGUUAUCAUUUUCAGCUCUUUUCCUUUUAGGUUGGUAUUCAAGGCCUUUCAAUCACCAGAGUGUUUGGAACAAAGAAGGAUCAAUCUAAACUUUUGGAAAGCUGAGAAUUCACUGCAAGCCUAACUAUUAGCUAGGCAAGUCUCUGUUGAGAAUGGGAGAGAUAAGAUUCAAAGAAAAAUAAUGGAGAUAAUUAGGAAUGGCUGAUUAGUGUCACUAACUGAUGGUUUUCCUGUACUCACUGAGAAAAAUCUGCCACUAUAGAGAGAUGGACAAGCAGAAUAUUUUGUGAUGCAUGGAAAGAAUUCUGUAAGUAAAGGGAAAGUACACAGUAAGGAAGGACCAGUUGGACCUUGAGCUAACUGCUGCAGCAGGGAGAGGGAUGCAUAUAUAUAUAAAAUGAGGGCUGGCAAUAUGAGUGCAACUCUCAGCCCGCGUUGACACUAGCCCAAUUAUCCAGGCCUCCCAUUGUCACAGAGACAGGCAUGUUGUAGUGUGUUGGUGCCCGACCAUGCCAGUCUCGCUGUGAGGAACACAACAUCAGAGCCGAACUCAGGAUCUACAGGAUCGCACUGAAGCCUGCUGUGCUUGAUGGUCAAACUAAUCAAUGAAUAUUGACAAUGUCGCUGCGCGUUUCCUACCGAAGAGGAUUGUGGAUCCAUACUACGGCCGUGUUCUUCCUUUUACAUGUUUAAUAAGAUCGAUGUUUCUUAAUAGUAGUGGGCUGUCUUAUGUGUGUUCAGAUACGACUGAUCCUGAAGAAAUGUCUUAGGAAUGACGUGCUUGUUUUGUUUACUCAUUGUAACAUGAUGUCUUCCAUUUUUAAGCACGGCUACAGUAUUAUAAGCCGUGAUUUUACGAGUGUGAUGAGUGCCAGUGUUCAUGCUGUUUUAUAUUAGGUUAAUACUGGGUUUGAGAUCUGAAUAAGUAGUAGAAGUAGGUAUUAAAUCUCAAUUGAAAAAGGGUACAGUUCCACUUUGCUGAUGUGUUCAUGUACAUGAACAGUGAAGUUAAUGGCUUAUUAAUGUAUCUGGGUGUAAACAGAUGUAAUUGAACAUGUAUCUAAAGAGUAGUUUUCUUUGUGUGUCAUUUUGUAGAGAGGUUGGUUUUGUUGCAACAACAAUAUAUAUAAAAAAAUAAAUAACAGCAGCCAAAAAAAGAGGAAAAAUAAAGAGUUUUACCUGGAGGAUCUCUGACAAAGAUCUUCAAAACUGGUUCAAAGUUUGUCUGAUCGAUGGUCUUUCUCGCUCUCCUCAGUUAGCGAGUCUCCUUAGCGUGGGAUAAUUUUAUGUAUUUAUUUUAAACUGUAAUUUAUAUAGGAUUAAGCAGAUUAAACUAGCUGGGCUUCUUCUCCAAGAUGUAAUACUGAAUUUAUCUCAAAUGCUAUGUUAUCUGGUUUGAGGGGCAGAGUUCUGGUCCGUGGUAAGCACAUAGCAUCAGUAUAUCAUACGUCGGGUCGGCAUAUCGUCAGAAGAAAGUUCUCGUAGCAGGUUUUUGAACAUCGUCCUUUGCAACCGUUAAAUACCUCCAAUUGAAUGACCGUGUAUGCAAAUAAUACAUACAAAUAAACAUGUGCAUAUACAGUAUACAUAUGCUGGUGGUGUUCUCAGAGAAAGAAAGAGGGCACGACUUGCUGUCUUUUGAUUCAG
ensembl:lncRNA